AGCAGCUAUUUCCAGCUCAGGUAAAGAGGAGUCCUCCAGCUCUGAAGUCUUGAAUCUGAGGAGAACCUAAACACAGUAUCCCUGUUCUGGCUGACAGACCAACAACAGCACAAGAAACGGUGGUCUAAAGAUCCUUUCUGCAUCUGACAACACAGCUCGCUACAACCAGACUGGCAGAAAGUAAAUGUGUCACCCACGCUGAAUCAUAAGUCUUUUUAGGGUCUACUCAUUGGCAAAGCUUUUCCUUAGACUAUGGAUCCAAGCAAAGAACUGGGUUCUCUCAGAGUGGGAAGUGUGGAAGACAAUGAUCUUACAUCAGAGAUCAAGAGGCAUUCCUGUAGACUCACAAUCGACACAAAAUCAGUGAGCAGGAAACUCGAACUGUCUAACGGAAACAAGAAGGUGGCCUAUGUGGGGGGACAUAACCUACAUCGUUUCCAUAGACACGGAUUUCAUUCUCCUCAGCUGCUGUGUAUAAACGGUCUGACUGAUCGACAUUACUGGGAGGUCGAGUGGAGUGGAGAUGUUUACAUAGCAGUCAGUUACAGUGGAAUCAGUAGGAAAGGAAUAACUGGCGACAAUGAGUUUGGAUCAAAUUCUCAGUCCUGGGCACUUGUAGUAAAAACGGGUUCAUCCUCUGUCAUUGCAAAGCACGAUAACACAGAAACACCCAUCGUCUCCCACAACAGAUUUAACAGAGUAGCAGUGUAUGUGGAUUAUGCUGCUGGCAUUCUGUCCUUUUUCAGUGUUUCCUCUGACACUCUGAUCCACCUCCACACAUUCAAAACCAUAUUCAAUGAUCCUCUUUAUCCCGGAUUUGCAGUCUUUCCUGGUUCCACAGUGAUUCUGCCCUGA